UUGGAUACUGAAGUCCUCUAUUUAUCCACAGAAGGACAGCUGAAGGGUAACUUUUCCCACAAUACUUCACACUCAACCCUGUGUCUCAGUCCUGACACGUAGGUACUACAGCACUUCCAGGGAUAAGAGGGGAUUUCAUACUUACCAGUCCUUGGCCACU
rnacentral:sRNA from 1 species